GUCAUGAAAGGCGCUAUAGAAAUACAAGUAUUUCCCUUCUUUAUCAGCAUGAGUUGUGCAUUAGGAAUUCAACCGUCCUUAAGAAGGCUUCCUGUUGAUUUGAGAUUAGUGGCAGCACAGUGUGAACACUGAAGGAAGCCAAGGGGUUGCUGGUUGACCUUAAUACAUCCCUUGCCUGAUGCUGCCAGACUUGCUGAGCUUUUCCAGCAGUCUCUGUUUUUGCUUCAAACUCCGGCAACCUGACGUCAGUGAGAAUCAGAAAAUGGUGGCAAACAUUUGUCAGCCCUGGCUGUUUGAAUUUGAGAGGAUAAGAGGAGAAGAACAUGAACAAUUAGUGCAAAGGGGCACAGACUAUGGGGGUGAGAUGCCUCGCAUAAGGUCCCUCAGCCACUUUGAGGAACCUCAGCCCCUCUGGGGAUGCAGGUCUGAAUCCUGCCAUAGCAUAAGGUGCAACUUGAAUUCAAUAACAAUCUGGAGUUAACACCAUAAUGGUGACCAUGACCUCAUUGCCAAUUGUUGAGGAAAAAUUGCAAAGCCGAGGCUGAUUGAUAUUUGUUCAAAUGUGGAUCCAAUAAAUUUGAGAUGAAGAUCAGCCAUGAUUGUACUGAAUGGUGGAACAGGUUGAAUGGCCAAUUCCUGUAUCUACCACUAAGUCUCUACCAAUUAAAUUCAGAAGCUACCCCAGUGAUUUCAGAUUUGAAUUCAAUCAAAGUGUGGCCUGAUGAUUUGCACUGCAUAUGUUACAUUUCAGUGGAGUCAAUGAUUGUGCUGUACAAGGGUCAACUUGUACAGUGGCCGUGCUCUCACCACUAAAUCAGCUGGUAUAUGAUUAUAAACUCCACUCAACAGGUGUAAGCGUCCCUUCGCAACUCACACAACAUUGCAGAGCCUAGAGGGCAUGUGCUGUGCAUCCUCAUUUAGUAAUCACCUGGAGCAUGUUGCCAAUCAGUAGCCCAUUAACAGAGAAAAGACCAGACGCCAUAACUGAAGAUAAAAUUCUUAGUACAAUCUUCAACAUGUAUUACAGCCCAUUGGUGUGCUAUAUAAUACAGUAUAUUGAUGUGUUACGUAUUACAGCCCAUUGGUGUGCUAUGUGAGUACAGUAUAUUGGUGUGCUGUGUAUUAGAGUCCAUUGAUGUGUUAUGUAUAACAAUGUAUUGGUGUGUUAUGUAUUACAGUGUAUUGGUGUGCUAUAAAUAAAGUCCAUUGUUGUACUAUGUAUUACAAUGUAUUAGUGUGCUAUGUAAUGCAGUCUAUUGGUGUGUUAUGUAUUACAGUCCAUUGGUGUGCUAUGUAUUACAGGUAUCCUGAUUCCUGAUGAAGGGCUUGUGCCCAAAAUGUUGAUUCUCCUGCUCCUUGGAUUACAAUCCAUUGGUGGGCUAUGUAAUACAAUGUAUUGGUGUGCUAUGUAAUACAGUGCAUUAGUGGGCUAUAUGAUACAGUCCAUUGGUGUGCUAUGUAAUACAGUGUAUUAGUGUGUUAUGUAUUACAGUGUAUUGGUGUGCUAUGUUUUGGUGUGCUAUGAAUUACAGUGUAUUGGUGUGCUAUGUAAUACAGUGCAUUAGUGGGCUAUAUGAUACAGCCCAUUGGUGUGCUAUGUAUUACAGUGUAUUGGUGCACUAUGUAAUAUAAUCCAUUGGUGCACUAUGUAAUGCAGUCCAUUGGUGCACUAUGUAUUACAGUGUAUUGGUGUGCUAUUUAUUACAGCCCAUCGGUGUGCUAUGAAUUACAGUGUAUUUGUUGUCUAUGUAAUAUAAUCCAUUGGUGUGCUAUGUAUUACAGUUUAUUGGUGUGCUAUGUAAUACAGUGUAUUGGUAUGCUAUGUAUUACAGUCCAUUGGUGUGCUAUGUGUUACAGUCCAUUUGUGUGUUAUGUAUCACCAUGUAUUGGUGUUCUAUGUAAUACAGUGUAUUGGUGUGCUUAUGUAUUACAGCCCAUUGGUGGGUGAUGUAUUAGAGUCCAUUGGUAUGCUAUGUAAUACAGUGCAUUGGUGUGCCAUGUAUAACAGUCAUAGAGUCAUAGAAUCAUCGAGAUGUACAGCAUUGGUUUGCUAUAUAAUACAAUGCAUUAGUGUAAUACAGUGUAUUAAUGAGCUAUGUAUUACAAUCCAUUGGCGUAUUACAGGGCAAAAGUGAGGACUGCAGAUGCUGGAAACCAGAGUUUAGAUUAGAGUGGUGCUGGAAAAA